rnacentral:rRNA from 1 species
UACGUAGGGGGCAAGCGUUGUCCGGAAUCAUUGGGCGUAAAGGGCGCGUAGGUGGCUUCUCAAGCGUGCGGUGAAAGCCUGGGGCUCAACCCCGGGUCGGCCGUGCGAACUGGGGGGCUGGAGCACUGUAGAGGCAGGCGGAAUUCCGGGUGUAGCGGUGGAAUGCGUAGAGAUCCGGAAGAACACCGGUGGCGAAGGCGGCCUGCUGGGCAGUUGCUGACACUGAGGCGCGACAGCGUGGGGAGCAAACAGG